CCCACCCGUGUUUACUGUACCUUAGUUGCUUCGGCGGGCCCGCCAUUCAUGGCCGCCGGGGGCUCUCAGCCCCGGGCCCGCGCCCGCCGGAGACACCACGAACUCUGUCUGAUCUAGUGAAGUCUGAGUUGAUUGUAUCGCAAUCAGUUAAAACUUUCAACAAUGGAUCUCUUGGUUCCGGCAUCGAUGAAGAACGCAGCGAAAUGCGAUAACUAGUGUGAAUUGCAGAAUUCCGUGAAUCAUCGAGUCUUUGAACGCACAUUGCGCCCCCUGGUAUUCCGGGGGGCAUGCCUGUCCGAGCGUCAUUGCUGCCCAUCAAGCACGGCUUGUGUGUUGGGUCGUCGUCCCCUCUCCGGGGGGGACGGGCCCCAAAGGCAGCGGCGGCACCGCGUCCGAUCCUCGAGCGUAUGGGGCUUUGUCACCCGCUCUGUAGGCCCGGCCGGCGCUUGCCGAACGCAAAUCAAUCUUUUUCCAGGUUGACCUCGGAUCAGGUAGGGAUACCCGCUGAACUUAAGCAUAUCAAUAAGCGGAGGAAA
rnacentral:rRNA from 1 species